rnacentral:RNase_P_RNA from 1 species
GCAGCAAACCGUUCUGUCGCUCCCUGCAGAAAUGCAGGGGGAGGAAAGUCCGGACAACACAGAGCACCAUACUUCCUAACGGGAAGAUACCCGCGAGGGUAUAGUAACGUAACAGAAAAGAACCGUCCCGGGCUCGUCCUGAGCUUGUCGAAGGAUACCCGGGAUAAGGGUGAAAAGGUGAGGUAAGAGCUCACCGGGCCACGUGGUGACACGGGGUGCCGUACGUCUUAUGGCUUGAAAGACCAUGUAUACCGGCGCUGAGGAUGGCUCGUCCGAUGCCGGGGGGUAGGUCGUUAUAGCUAUUCAGCAAUGAAUGGCAUAGAGAAAUGACAGAAGACCGGGCCGCCAUUCCAUAUGGAAUAUAGGCCAGGUAACAGAAUCCGGCUUACAGGUUUGCUGCUUUA